GCUACAGGAGAGCUGAGAGGGACUCUUUGUCAGGAAGGGCAGUGACAGGACAAGGGGAACCCUGAGCAGUCCAAGUCCUGGCUGGGAUCUGGGUGCCAGCUGUUUCACAGACUACAGGAGACAGAGACGUGUCCUAGCGCCAUAUGGUAGUGCUGGAAGGUAAAGGCUAAUAUCAUUAAGGAGAAGAUAUACCUUACUGGCUAAUUUUUGGUGAUGGAAUCAAGUUUUUUUGAUAGAAUGACUGGAAAGAUGUACCUUUGUCAUCAUGCGUUUUAUCCACCCAAGGGUCCUUGUUAAAAAAA